rnacentral:rRNA from 1 species
UAUCUCUGUAGAGUCUGCAUAUCAAUAAGCGGAGGAAAAGAAACUAACAAGGAUUCCCUUAGUAACGGCGAGUGAAGCGGGAAGAGCUCAAAUUUGAAAUCUUCAAGGUUCUACCUUGACGAAUUGUAGUUUAAAGAAGUGUUUUCUGUUAGAUGAGUAGCAAAAGUUCCUUGGAAUGGGACAUCAUAGAGGGUGAGAAUCCCGUAUUUGGUUAUUCAUUCUAGCUUUGUGAUACACUUUCAAAGAGUCGGAUUGUUCGGGAAUGCAGUCCAAAAUGGGUGGUAAAUUUCAUCUAAAGCUAAAUAUUGGCGAGAGACCGAUAGCGAACAAGUACCGUGAGGGAAAGAUGAAAAGAACUUUGAAAAGAGAGUUAAACAGUACGUGAAAUUGUCAAAAGGGAAGCGUUUGACACCAGUGUUGUUUUUCCGAAAAUCAAUUACGAAUGGCUUGAUUUUGUGUCGUAUUGACCUUAUCAGCUUUCUUCACUUUUUUCGAGUCUUUCUUAAUGCACUUUUCGGUUAACAAGUCAACAUCAAUUUCUUUUGUUGUAAAAGAGUAUUCGGAAGGUGGCUUUCUUUUCGGAGAAAGUGUUUAUAGCCCUAUACUUCUACAAUCGGAGAGAUUGAGGUCUGCAGCGUAGAUCCUUCGGGGUUAGAUACACUUGUGCUAAGUUGUAGCUUUUCAUAGACAACUUGUUGACUAUGUUUAGUCAUGCGGCUUACUCGCUUGUGCUAUUUUACCUACGCUUAGGAUGUUGACUGAUAUGUAGUCGU